rnacentral:rRNA from 1 species
GACGAACGCUGGCGGCGUGCUUAACACAUGCAAGUCGAACGGAAAGGCCCUGCUUGCAGGGUACUCGAGUGGCGAACGGGUGAGUAACACGUGGGUGAUCUGCCCUGCACUUCGGGAUAAGCCUGGGAAACUGGGUCUAAUACCGGAUAGGAGCCAUUUUUAGUGUGAUGGUUGGAAAGUUUUUUCGGUGUAGGAUGAGCUCGCGGCCUAUCAGCUUGUUGGUGGGGUAAUGGCCUACCAAGGCGGCGACGGGUAGCCGGCCUGAGAGGGUGGACGCCACAUUGGGACUGAGAUACGGCCCAGACUCCUACGGGAGGCAGCAGUGGGGAAUAUUGCACAAUGGGCGCAAGCCUGAUGCAGCGACGCCGCGUGGGGGAUGACGGCCUUCGGGUUGUAAACUCCUUUCGCUAGGGACGAAGCUUUUUGUGACGGUACCUAGAUAAGAAGCACCGGCUAACUACGUG